UACGGGGGGGGGCAAGCGUUGUUCGGAAUUACUGGGCGUAAAGGGCUCGUAGGCGGCCAACUAAGUCGGACGUGAAAUCCCUCAGCUUAACUGGGGAACUGCGUCCGAUACUGGAUGGCUUGGAUUCGGGAGAGGAAUGCGGAAUUCCAGGUGUAGCGGUGAAAUGCGUAGAUAUCUGGAGGAACACCGGUGGCGAAGGCGGCAUUCUGGACCGACAUUGACGCUGAGGAGCGAAAGCCGGGGAGCAAACGGG
rnacentral:rRNA from 1 species